rnacentral:rRNA from 1 species
UACGUAGGGUACAAGCGUUGUCCGGAAUUAUUGGGCGUAAAGAGCUCGUAGGCGGUCUGUCGCGUCGGCUGUGAAAACCUGGGGCUCAACCCCGGGCCUGCAGCCGAUACGGGCAGACUAGAAUUCGGUAGGGGAGACUGGAAUUCCUGGUGUAGCGGUGAAAUGCGCAGAUAUCAGGAGGAACACCGGUGGCGAAGGCGGGUCUCUGGGCCGAUAUUGACGCUGAGGAGCGAAAGCGUGGGGAGCGAACAG